rnacentral:rRNA from 1 species
UACGAGGGAUGCAAGCGUUAUCCGGAUUUAUUGGGCGUAAAGAGUUUGUAGGUGGCUUAAUGUGUUUAACGUUAAAUAUUAGAGCUUAACUUUGAAGUUGCGUUAAAAACUAUUAAACUUGAGUAUGGUAGAGGUAAAGGGAAUUUCCAGUGUAGCGGUGAAAUGCAUAGAUAUUGGAAAGAACACCAAAGGCGAAAGCACUUUGCUAGGCUAAUACUGACACUGAGAAACGAAAGCUAAGGUAGCAAAACGG